rnacentral:rRNA from 1 species
AACGAACGCUGGCGGCGUGGAUAAGACAUGCAAGUCGAACGCUGAUUGCAGGGUAGCAAUAUCUUGCAGUCGGAGUGGCGUAAGGGUGCGUAACACGUGGGUAAUCUGCCGUGAAGUUGGGGAUAACCCCGAGAAAUCGGGGCUAAUACCGAAUGUGGAUGUUUGAAGGCAUCUUUGAACAUCUGAAGCCGGGGACCGCAAGGCCUGGUGCUUUACGAUGAGCCCGCGACCUAUCAGCUAGUUGGUGAGGUAACGGCUCACCAAGGCUAAGACGGGUAGCUGGUCUGAGAGGACGACCAGCCACACUGGAACUGAGACACGGUCCAGACACCUACGGGAGGCUG